UACGUAGGGUGCGAGCGUUACUCGGAAUUACUGGGCGUAAAGCGUGCGCAGGCGGUUCGUUGUGUCGGUGGUGAAAUCCCCGGGCUUAACCUGGGAACUGCAUUGGUGACUGCACGGCUAGAGUGUGUCAGAGGGGGGUAGAAUUCCACGUGUAGCAGUGAAAUGCGUAGAGAUGUGGAGGAAUACCGAUGGCGAAGGCAGCCCCCUGGGAUAACACUGACGCUCAUGCACGAAAGCGUGGGGAGCAAACAGG
rnacentral:rRNA from 1 species